GACGAACGCUGGCGGCGUGCUUAACACAUGCAAGUCGAACGGAAAGGCCCAGCUUGCUGGGUGCUCGAGUGGCGAACGGGUGAGUAACACGUGGGUGAUCUGCCCCUAACUUCGGGAUAAGCUUGGGAAACUGGGUCUAAUACCGGAUAGGACAAUCGUUUAGUGUCGGUCGUGGAAAGUUUUUUCGGUUAGGGAUGAGCCCGCGGCCUAUCAGCUUGUUGGUGGGGUAAUGGCCUACCAAGGCGUCGACGGGUAGCCGGCCUGAGAGGGUGGACGGCCACAUUGGGACUGAGAUACGGCCCAGACUCCUACGGGAGGCAGCAGUGGGGAAUAUUGCACAAUGGGCGCAAGCCUGAUGCAGCGACGCCGCGUGGGGGAUGACGGCCUUCGGGUUGUAAACCUCUUUCGACAGGGACGAAGCUUUGGUGACGGUACCUGUAUAAGAAGCACCGGCUAACUACGUG
rnacentral:rRNA from 1 species